UUGCUUUAGCAGCACGUAUACUAAAAUUGGAGCAAUACAAAGAAGAUUAGCAUGGCCUCUGCACAAGGAUGACACACAUAAUACAGUCGUUUCAGCCAUUAAA